GAUGAACGCUGGCGGCGUGCCUAACACAUGCAAGUCGAGCGAACAGAUGAGGAGCUUGCUCCUCUGACGUUAGCGGCGGACGGGUGAGUAACACGUGGAUAACCUACCUAUAAGACUGGGAUAACUUCGGGAAACCGGAUCUAAUACCGGAUAAUAUAUUGAACCGCAUGGUUCAAUAGUGAAAGACGGUUUUGCUGUCACUUAUAGAUGGAUCCGGGUCGGAUUAGCUAGUUGGUAAGGUAACGGCCUACCAAGGCGACGAUGCGUAGCCGACCUGAGAGGAUGAUCAGACACACUGGAACUGAGACACGGUCCAGACUCCUACGGGAGGCAGCAGUGGGGAAUAUUGGACAAUGGGCGAAAGCCUGAUACAGCCAUGCCGCGUGUGUGAAGAAGGUCUUCGGAUUGUAAAGCACUUUAAGUUGGGAGGAAGGGCAGUAAGUUAAUACCUUGCUGUUUUGACGUUACCAAAAGAAUAAGCACCGGCUAACUUCGUG
rnacentral:rRNA from 1 species